GCACUCUAGACGACUGGCCGUUGACAAAACGGAGGAAGGUGGGAUGACGUCAAAUCAUCAUGCCCCUUAUGUUCUGGGCUACACACGUGCUACAAUGGCCGGUACAGACGGACGCAAAGCCGCGAGGCGGAGCAAAUCCGAAAAAGCCGGUCUCAGUUCGGAUUGCAGGCUGCAAUUCGCCUGCAUGAAGUCGGAAUCGCUAGUAAUCGCAGGUCAGCAUACUCGCGGUCGAAUACGUUCCCGGGCCUU
rnacentral:rRNA from 1 species